UACGGAGGGUGCAAGCGUUGUUCGGAAUUAUUGGGCGUAAAGGGCGCGUGAGGCGGUGCUAUAAGUCUGUGGUGAAAUCUCUGGGCUCAACUCAGAGUCAUGCCAUAGAAACUGUAGUGCUAGAGUGCGGUAGGGGGUGACUGGAAAUUCCUGGUGUAGCGGUGGAAUGCGCAGAUAUCAGGAGGAACACCGAUGGCGAAGGCAGGUCACUGGGCCGCAACUGACGCUGGAGGAGCGAAAGCAUGGGGAGCGAACAGG
rnacentral:rRNA from 1 species